GUGAAUCAUCGAAUCUUUGAACGCAUAUUGCACUCUCUGGUAUUCCGGAGAGUAUGCCUGUUUGAGGGUAAUUAUAAACAAUCUUUAGCCUAUUUUUUUUGUUCAGAGGUAAUGAGUUCUCCGCGUUUCUUGCGGUAGCUGGAAAUAAAUGGUCAAGUCUCAUUUUAUUCGAGACGCGUAAUAAUAUUAUUUUGUUAAUUCUUCAUCUUGUGAUUAUCAAGUUUUGAUGC
rnacentral:misc_RNA from 1 species